rnacentral:rRNA from 1 species
AUGGUGGAUACCUAGGCACGCAGAGGCGAAGAAGGACGUGGCGACCGACGAAAAGCUCCGGGGAGCUGGAAGCAAGCACUGAGCCGGAGAUAUCCGAAUGGGGCAACCCAGAAACAGCCUGUUGAAUAUAUAGACAGGCAUGAGCGAACCUAGCGAACUGAAACAUCUUAGUAGCUAGAGGAAGAGAAAGAAAAAUCGAUUUCCCAAGUAGUGGUGAGCGAACAGGAAACAGCCUAAACCAAAAAUUUUUAUUUUUGGGGUAGUGGGAAAGCGAUAUGGAAGCUGGAAGCUAGACGAAGCAGCCAAAAACUGCACCAAAGAAGGUGAUAGUCCUGUAGUCGAAAGUGGAAAGAUACUAGCUUAAUCCCGAGUAGCACGGGGCACGAGAAAUCCCGUGUGAAUCAGCGAGGACCACCUCGUAAGGCUAAAUACUACUGCGUGACCGAUAGUGAAACAGUACCGCGAGGGAAAGGUGAAAAGAACCCCGGGAGGGGAGUGAAAUAGAACAUGAAACCAUUAGCCUACAAGCAGUGGAAGGACGAUUUAACGUCUGACCGCGUGCCUGUUGAAGAAUGAGCCGGCGAGUUAUAAGUAGUGGCAGGUUAAAGCAAUAAUUGCUGAAGCCAAAGCGAAAGCGAGUCUGAAUAGGGCGCAAUAAGUGUCACUGGUUAUAGACCCGAACCCGGGUGAUCUAACCAUGUCCAGGAUGAAG